GUGCAAUGAUGUAUUUAUUUGUCACAUCAUUCUGAAGGAAAGUUUGUGGUGACUUCUUAUUGCUGAGCACA
rnacentral:snoRNA from 1 species